AUUGAACGCUGGCGGAAUGCUUUACACAUGCAAGUCGAACGAUGAACCUUAGCUUGCUAAGGGAAUUAGUGGCGAACGGGUGAGUAAUGUAUCGGAACGUAUCCAAUAAUGGGGGAUAACUAGUCGAAAGAUUAGCUAAUACCGCAUACGUCCUACGGGAGAAAGCUAGGGACCUUCGGGCCUGGCGUUAAUGGAGCGGCCGAUAUCUGAUUAGCUAGUUGGUGGGGUAAAGGCUCACCAAGGCGACGAUCAGUAGCUGGUCUGAGAGGACGACCAGCCACACUGGAACUGAGACACGGUCCAGACUCCUACGGGAGGCAGCAGUGGGGAAUUUUGGACAAUGGGCGAAAGCCUGAUCCAGCCAUUCCGCGUGAGUGAAGAAGGCCUUCGGGUCGUAAAGCUCUUUCGCAAGGGAAGAAAACUUAAGCUCUAACAUAGCUUGAGGUUGAUGGUACCUUGAUAAGAAGCACCGGCUAACUACGUGCCAGCCGCCGCAGUAA
rnacentral:rRNA from 1 species